rnacentral:rRNA from 1 species
CGCAUCUGUGCAUGCAGCAUAUCAAUUAAGCGGAGGAAAAGAAACUAACAAGGAUUCCCUUAGUAACGGCGAGUGAAGCGGGAAGAGCUCAAAUUUGAAAUCUUCAAGGUUUUACCUUGACGAAUUGUAGUUUAAAGAAGUGUUUUCUGUUGAAGUUUUGGUAAAAGUUCUUUGGAAUAGGACAUCAUAGAGGGUGAGAAUCCCGUAUUUGACCAUUAUUUUCAGCUGUGUGAUACACUUUCAAAGAGUCGGAUUGUUUGGGAAUGCAGUCCAAAAUGGGUGGUAAAUUUCAUCUAAAGCUAAAUAUUGGCGAGAGACCGAUAGCGAACAAGUACCGUGAGGGAAAGAUGAAAAGAACUUUGAAAAGAGAGUUAAACAGUACGUGAAAUUGUCAAAAGGGAAGCGUUUGACACCAGUGUUGUUUUCUCGAAAAUCAAUUAAAAAGAGUUUAGAUUUUGUUGUGUAUUGACCUUAACAGCUUGCAUUUCAAUUUUCUUGCUUUUUUUAAUGCACUUUUCGUUUAACAAGUCAACAUCAGUUUCUUUCGUUGUAAAAAGGUCAUUGGAAGGUGGCUUUCUUUUCGGAGAAAGUGUUUAUAGCCUUUGACUCCUGCAAUCGGAGAGACUGAGGUCUGCAGCGUAGAUCCUUCGGGGUUAGAUACAUUUGUGCUAAGUUAUAGCUUUUUAUAGACAACUUGUUGACUAUGAUUAGUCUUGUAGCUUACUCGCUUAUGCUAUUUUACCUACGCUUAGGAUGUUGACACACGCGCGUGCUCG